CCACUAUCAAAGAGGACUUCACCACCUCCUUGGCGGGCAUCCAUCAAGAGCUAGAGGAGCUGGGUGACCGGACCGAUCAGGUCGAACGUAAAACUGACGAUCUCUCCUCUGCCCACAACCUGAUGGCGGACAGACUACAGAAACUAGAGGAAGAUAAUACCAAAUUAUGGCACAAAAUGGCGGACAUGGAGGACCGCUCCCGCAGGAACAACGUGCGGUUCCGGGGAGUAGCAGAGUCCAUCACAACAGACCAGAUCUCGGCCUACAUUACCUCAUUAAGUACCACGCUGGUCCCUGACCUCUCCGGUGUUACCUGGGAACUGGAUAGAGCCC